ACGGGGCAUUGCCCAGUAACGGCGAGUGAAGCGGCAAAAGCUCAAUUUUGAAAUCCCCCCGGGGAGUUGUAAUUUGAAGACUAGGGGAUUUGGCCCAAACCUGCGCAAGUCCAUUGGAACAUGGCGCCCAAGAGGGUGAGAGCCCCGUCGCGCAGGCCGCAGCCUUGACAUCCCCCCGUCAAAGAGUCGAGUUGUUUGGGAAUGCAGCUCAAAGUGGGUGGUAAAUUCCAUCUAAAGCUAAAUAUUGGCGAGAGACCGAUAGCGAACAAGUACAGUGAUGGAAAGAUGAAAAGCACUUUGAAAAGAGAGUGAAACAGUACGUGAAAUUGUUGAAAGGGAAGGGCUUGCAAGCAGACACGAGUUCGCUCGGGCCAGCAUCAAUUUCGCGAGGUGGACAACACGCCAGGAAUGUGGCAGGCUCCGGCCUGUGUUAUAGCCUGCGCGCCAUACACCUCCGCGAGAUUGAGGCCUGCUCCAAAAGGAUGCUGGCGUAAUGGUUGCAAGUCGCCCGUCUUGAAAMACRRACMMAAAAAA
rnacentral:rRNA from 1 species